UAAGGAAUAUUGGUCAAUGGACGCAAGUCUGAACCAGCCAUGCCGCGUGAAGGAUGAAGGUCCUCUGGAUUGUAAACUUCUUUUAUAGGGGAAGAAAUGCAUUUUUUCUAAAGUGUUUGACGGUACCCUAGGAAUAAGCACCGGCUAACUCCGUGCCAGCAGCCGCGGUAAUACGGAGGGUGCAAGCGUUAUCCGGAUUCACUGGGUUUAAAGGGUGCGUAGGCGGGUAUGUAAGUCAGUGGUGAAAUCCUCGAGCUUAACUCGAGAACUGCCAUUGAUACUAUGUAUCUUGAAUGUCAUGGAGGUGAGCGGAAUAUGUCAUGUAGCGGUGAAAUGCUUAGAUAUGACAUAGAACACCGAUUGCGAAGGCAGCUCACUACACGAAUAUUGACGCUGAGGCACGAAAGCGUGGGGAUCAAACAGGAUUAGAUACCCGCGUAGUCC
rnacentral:rRNA from 1 species